rnacentral:lncRNA from 1 species
UCAGUCAUAGUACUUCUCUUUAUCAGAUAGACCAUCCAAUCACUCAUUGUGAAAGACACUCACACACUCUCUCACACACACACACACACACAAUCACACAAAUUACCUAUCAUGUAUUUCUGUGUGUUCCUUUCUCUAGUGUCUGGAGGAAGGGCCCAUCUGCCAUGAUCCUCAGGAGGAAGAGGAGGAGGAGGAGGAGGAGGAAGAGAAGCCCCUGUUUAAACCCUGUGCCACCUGCUGGUCGGAGGACUCCCCUGCGCGGCUGCAGAGCAGACGGAGCUGGUUGCCCUGGCGCCUGAGGGAGAUGCCUGGCCUCCUCGCCCUCCUCGCCCUGCUCGGCCUCCUGCUGGCCCUCCUGCUGAUGCUGACGGCGGCCGCCUGGUACCCCGAGAUGGCGUGUCACCGUGCUAACGGACUGGGACGCUCCUUCCACCUUGCACUGCGAUAUGUCAACGGCCCCCCGCCCACCUGAGGGGAGAGAUGCACCCCCCGCCACCAAGAGUGGGCGUCCAUUGGGAGCUGUAUUGUGUGUGUGUGUGUGUGUGUGUGUGUGUGUGUGUGUGGGGGAUGUGAUGUGAUGUGAUGUGUUUGGGCAUACAAACUAUCAAGGGUGUCAAUCUCUGUCUCUCUCAAACACAAACAUGCACACACACACACACACACACGCACACACACGCAGGAGAAGGGGAUGGUAGCUUUUGCACUAGUUGCUGGCCAGGACAGGGUGUAGCCACAGUCCUUUCAUCAUGUGACUCUGGAACAGAUCCCGCCCUGUAGCGGGCAAACUCUCUGCCAUAGCUGGCCCUCACCUGGCCCUCAUCCCAGCCAGAAUCAGCAGCUAUGUAGGUAGAGGGAAUUUUAAAGAAGAACCACUAAGCUGAGGUAGCACUUGAAUAUAGGAUCUGCGCUUGUUCAAUAUGUAUGACAGUAGAUAAGCUGAUUAGGUAGAGAAUGUCAUAUGGAAGAGGAGGUUGGGGGGAUGUAAUGCACUUGCAUGGAGAGAGCUUCUGCAUGGCCACUGGCUUCAUUCUAGUUCCAAAGGGGACGCUCUUCGUGUGCAACUGCAGCUCUGAAGAGCAUUCUGGUCAGGCAUGGCCAGGAUGUCCGUACAUUAUUGCGUAAGACCACAUCCAAGAGCACAUUAAUACAAAUGAUUGUUGUUGAGAACAGAUAUCAUGUUGCCUUUUGGAUGAGAUUUGACAAAGCAUUAAAAAAAAAAAAAAAAAAGCAAGGUCCCUACUAUGCAGGGUGUGUGUAGACAGGCUUUGAUAUUUUUGAUUAUGUACUGUGUCUGUAUGAAUUUGUAUUUGUGUGUGUGUGUGUGUGUGUGUGUGUGUGUGUGUGCGCGUGCGUGCGUGUGCAACAUUGCUGCAAUAUUAUUGUUUGUUUUUUAUGUGCACAGCCUGAGGGAUUGGGGGUGGGGGGUGUUGGAAGCAGUCUGCCCUAAAAUAAUCUAAUCAGCAGCUGAAAUACAGAUGUAGAAAUGCUUUUUGAAACAAAUAAAUUGUCUAUCUUUGAAAUGAUUUUGUAGCA